rfam:Arthrobacter sp. P2b genome assembly, contig: Ga0157235_105
AUACGUGCUCCGGGGUCGGUGUAAGUCCGAACCGGCGGUGACAGUCCGCGACCCGCGAGCCGGUGGUUUUCUUCGGAGAAUCCCGGCAGACGGUUGAACCGGUGAAAUUCCGGUACCGACAGUUAAAGUCUGGAUGAGAGAAGCACGUAC